rnacentral:rRNA from 1 species
GACGAACCGUCCAAACGUUAUUCGGAAUCACUGGGCUUAAAGGGUGCGUAGGCGGCCCUGUAAGUUGGGUGUGAAAUCCCUCGGCUCAACCGAGGAACUGCGCCCAAAACUACAGGGCUUGAGGAAGACAGAGGUGAGUGGAACUUGCGGUGGAGCGGUGAAAUGCGUUGAUAUCGCAAGGAACACCAGUGGCGAAAGCGACUCACUGGGUCUUUUCUGACGCUGAGGCACGAAAGCUAGGGGAGCGAAGAGG